CAGCGCAAGACUGACAUGGCUGUAGCACUCCAUUGGUGCUGCUCUGGAGCCUUUGAACUCUGCUCCCAAUUCUCUUGCUUUGUUGUCUGGUAUGCUGUAAUGGUCAGUGCCUCUGCAAUUGUGAACCAAGAGCCCCUGUUUGCUAGCUUCUCACAUGGAGGGAAGCUUGCAUUCAAGUGUUCACAUUCAACAACCUCGACCUAUGAUUUCUAUUGGUAUCGUCAACUGCCUGGAAAGACAGAGCUGCAACACCUCGGGACCUUGCAGUAUUUCACCGAUGAAUGGACUGAGGAGUUCAGCCAUGACCCAAAGAACUGGUUGGAAGGGAAAUGGCAUGGAGGUGGAAAGAAGAAUAUGGCCCUGCACCUCGAGAACCUUCAGGCUGGUGACACAGGACUGUAUCUGUGUGCUGUAAGAGAGCCACGGUGACAGAGGCAAAAACUGAGGCUGGCACAAAACAGUCCCAGGAAGGAAGGAACAACCUAAGUUGACAACUCUGCCACUCAGUUG